GACAGAGGGUGCAAACGUUGCUCGGAAUCACUGGGCGUAAAGGGCGCGUAGGCAGGGAUGUAAGUCGGGCGUGAAAUCCCCCAGGCUCAACCUGGGAAUUGCGUUGGAGACUGCAAGGCUGGAGUCUGGCAGAGGGGGGUAGAAUUCCACGUGUAGCAGUGAAAUGCGUAGAGAUGUGGAGGAACACCGAUGGCGAAGGCAGCCCCCCUGGGUCAAGACUGACGCUCAUGCACGAAAGCGUGGGGAGCAAACAGG
rnacentral:rRNA from 1 species